UAUAACAUGUGAAUAUACCCCUGUUGUAUUUUACAACUAAAACAUCCGGAUUACUUUGUUAUAACUAGUUGUUGUUUUGAUUUCCCGAGUUGCUAGCUUAUAGCCCGUUAGCAGCACCAGCAUGGUUGCCGCUAAUCCUGCUUGCAUUGUUUACACACUAUUUACACACAUUACCAUUGUUUACUCACUGUUACUUGCUUUAAUGGCGAAUUUGUGUCCACCUUUGAGUGCAGGUGAGGACACGUUCGAGCUGCACUCGUUGCAGCUGGAGGCCGUGGAGAAGCAGAUCCAGGAGCUGUUGGUGAGGCAGACCGAGCUGAGAGCGGAGAGCCGCUCUGGAAUCCUCCCGGGUGAGUAACGUUAUACAGCGCGAUACUAACACUCUGACCACCUCUACUCCGUGUGCUUCUCUGCACAGCUCCCGUUCACCCUGGACGCGAUCUUCCCAGAUGUCCUUCACUCCGGCGCCGGGACACCACGGACCCUGGGUGCAGCAGCAGCGGAAGACGCGAGCCAGGCCCCGGCCGAGGACCUCGCCCCCUCCGCCGCCUCCGGUCUUCGAGAUCUCCACCCGGAACCGCUUUAUUCCUCUCUGUGAGACGGAACGCGACUCUUUGAUCGUCGGAGACUCCAUUGUCCGAUACCCGCAAUCCUGAAGGACGGCGAGAGCGUCGGCGCGAUCGUUCUGCACGCGGGGGUGAACGACAUCAAGCUGCGGCAGACGGAGGUUCUGAAGAGGGACUUCAGCAGCCUGAUCGAGACGGUUCGCAGCACGUCGCCCGCGACGAGGAUCAUAGUGUCAGGACCGCUUCCCACGUAUCGACGUGGGCACGAAAGGUUCAGUAGACUUCUUGCUCUAAAUGAAUGGUUAUUGACAUGGUGUAAAGAACAGAAACUGCUCUUUGUUAAUAAUUGGAAUCUUUUCUGGGAACGUCCUAGGCUUUUCCGUGCCGAUGGCCUGCACCCCAGCAGAGUCGGAGCGGAGCUGCUGUCGGACAACAUCUCCAGGACACUACGCUCCAUUUGACUAGAAUUCACAAGCUCCAGUGUGGAUCCAGAACACUUAAGAAGAGUUGAUGCCAACCCCACAGAGGACUUCAGAUGAUGCCAACCCUGAAAACAUACAGCACUACCGAAUUCUGCUACUAAUUUAUAGUGUUCUUUGUCUGUUUGAUUACAUCGUUAAUUGAUCUUUACCACACAUCUCUGCCAUGUGUACAUCAAGCUACUACUACAUAUAUUGUAAAAAUGUCAAUUUGGUGUAAAGCUGCUUUGCAACGAUAUGUAUUGUGAAAAGCGCUAUACAAAUAAAUUUGAAUUGA